GACGAACGCUGGCGGCGUGCUUAACACAUGCAAGUCGAACGGAAAGGCCCUGCUUGCAGGGUACUCGAGUGGCGAACGGGUGAGUAACACGUGGGUGAUCUGCCCUGCACUUCGGGAUAAGCUUGGGAAACUGGGUCUAAUACCGGAUAGGAGCCAUCUUUAGUGUGGUGGUUGGAAAGUUGUUUCGGUGUAGGAUGAGCUCGCGGCCUAUCAGCUUGUUGGUGGGGUAAUGGCCUACCAAGGCGGCGACGGGUAGCCGGCCUGAGAGGGUGUACGGCCACAUUGGGACUGAGAUACGGCCCAGACUCCUACGGGGGGCAGCAGUGGGGAAUAUUGCACAAUGGGCGCAAGCCUGAUGCAGCGACGCCGCGUGGGGGAUGAAGGCCUUCGGGUUGUAAACUCCUUUCGCUAGGGACGAAGCUUUUUUGUGACGGUACCUAGAUAAGAAGCACCGGCUAACUACGUG
rnacentral:rRNA from 1 species